UGGGGAAUUUUGGACAAUGGGCGCAAGCCUGAUCCAGCAAUGCCGCGUGCAGGAUGAAGGCCUUCGGGUUGUAAACUGCUUUUGUACGGAGCGAAAAGGUCUGCCCUAAUACGGUGGGCUCAUGACGGUACCGUAAGAAUAAGCACCGGCUAACUCCGUGCCAGCAGCCACGGUAAUACGGAGGGUGCUAGCGUUAAUCGGAAUUACUGGGCGUAAAGCGCACGCAGGCGGUCUGUUAAGUCAGAUGUGAAAUCCCCGGGCUCAGCCUGGGACCUGCAUUUGGGACUGUAUAGCUAGAGUACGGUAGAGGGGGAUGGAAUUCCGCGUGUAGCAGUGAAAUGCGUAGAUAUGCGGAGGAACACCGAUGGCGAAGGCAAUCCCCUGGACCUGUACUGACGCUCAUGCACGAAAGCGUGGGGAGCAAACA
rnacentral:rRNA from 1 species